AAACUUUCAACAAUGGAUCUCUUGGCUCCGGCAUCGAUGAAGAACGCAGCGAAAUGCGAUAAGUAAUGUGAAUUGCAGAAUUCAGUGAAUCAUCGAAUCUUUGAACGCACAUUGCGCUCCCUGGCAUUCCGGGGAGCACGCCUGUCCGAGCGCCGUCC
rnacentral:rRNA from 1 species